rnacentral:tRNA from 1 species
GGGCCCGCAGUUUAACGGCCGAAUGCAAUCAUGGCAUGAUUGAGGAAGGGGUUCAAUUCCCCUCGGGUCCA